CUAUAUUCUGUUAUACUAGUUUUAUUUCAUUGAUAAAUUAGUAAGUAAGCUGAAAGUAAUUUGUAUCUCGAAUACAUAUAUAUUACCUUUUCCCUAAACACAGCCUAAUUCUAUGCAUUGAAGUAGAACCUGAAUUCAAGUUUGUCUCAAAGUGAAAAUCCAAACUGCUUUCCACCAAUUUAGAUUAAAAAAAAAGUCACUCACAUAAAAUUGUAUAGCAUUUUAUCUUGGAGAAUUUGGGUUCAAUUCCAGGUUCCAUAUCUCCAGAUUUCUUCAAGAAAGAUUUAAUCCUCUGGUUUUUUGAAUCAGUUCUUCUACUCGUACUUGACCCACUAUAAGUAUAGAUAGUCUGUCUUGAAUACUGGAAUAUUCCCAUCUUUUACUUACAGUCCUUUUAGCAGAAAAAGAAUAUAAAACAAGAAAGAAAGAACAACCUUACCACAGAUAUGGGUGAACUAUGAAAGGCAUUGAAAUAUUUUGCUUCUCAAUACUCAGUAGGAUAAAAUUUAAUAAGAAAAAAGAUACUGAAGGACUUUCCGGAAUUUCUUCAAUAUCCUAUAAACAGCAAGAAUUAUAGAGGAUUCAUGAAUAAAACAAUAAAGGGCAUCUGGAAAAGAGAGUUGCCUUUUCUUCACAAUUUAUUGAGGGUUUAUAUUUCACUUCAAAAGUUGAUCUUGUUCCCUUCAAAAUCUAGUUUUCUGCCACAUGUGCUUCUAUUGUAUAGGCAACAAGAACACUUUAUGACAGCAAACUUGAUUUAGAAGUUAUAUCUGAUGAUGUUUCUGAGAGGCUGAACUCCCAUAAUCAGGAUUUGAAAUUCAAUGGAAUUUCAGAUCCUGAUUAUAACUCUACUGAAUUACAGAAGUCAAAGCACACUUGAAGAAUUUGAUUAUAAUGUAAGUCAGAGAUCAGAUCUUGACAAUUUCAAAAUUAAUUGAGGAGAUUGGGCUUAUUGAGCCUACAUAGAGAUUCUCGAGGACUGAUUUGAACAAGCAACAAACAGAAACAAAGUAAGGAAUAAAGCAAAUGUAUGUUUCUUUUAGGAGAAGAAUUUAUCUUGCAAAACUGAGUACUUACUUGAUUUACUUGUGCUUUUUUUGUUAACAAAUGUUGCUAUUUUCCAUUCAGGUAGAUUAUUAAGUAAUAGGCCAAAAGAAGCUCUGCUGUAGGUUGUCCACUACUGUGGAGAAUUAUGGACAACCUAUGGCAAUUUGUGACAGGGAUCUGUGGUCCAGGCCAGAUCUUAUUAAUAAAUUUUCCAAUAGGUAGGAUUCAAGAAUCAAACAUUACUCUUUCAGAAUGGAAAGACAAAGUGUUUCUAUGCAGAAUUUGGCCAAUUUACUUAAGACUAUGGCUAAGGACUUGUUCAUUGCAAUUUUCAUUAUUGGAUCUUAGUGAUUAUC
rnacentral:lncRNA from 1 species